AGGAGAGUUUGAUCAUGGCUCAGAUUGAACGCUGGCGGCAGGCCUAACACAUGCAAGUCGAGCGGUAACAGGACUAGCUUGCUAGUUGCUGACGAGCGGCGGACGGGUGAGUAACGCGUAGGAAUCUACCAAGUAGUGGGGGAUAAGCCAGAGAAAUUUGGUCUAAUACCGCAUACGUUCUUCGGAAGAAAGGAGGGGAUCUUCGGACCUUUCGCUAUUUGAUGAGCCUGCGUGAGAUUAGCUAGUUGGUGGGGUAAAGGCCUACCAAGGCGACGAUCUCUAGCUGGUUUGAGAGGAUGAUCAGCCACACUGGGACUGAGACACGGCCCAGACUCCUACGGGAGGCAGCAGUGGGGAAUAUUGCACAAUGGGCGCAAGCCUGAUGCAGCCAUGCCGCGUGUGUGAAGAAGGCCCUAGGGUUGUAAAGCACUUUCAGCAGUGAGGAAAGGUGUGUGGUUAAUACCUGCUAGCUGUGACGUUAACUGCAGAAGAAGGACCGGCUAACUCCGUGCCAGCAGCCGCGGUAAUACGGAGGGUCCGAGCGUUAAUCGGAAUUACUGGGCGUAAAGCG
rnacentral:rRNA from 1 species